UAGGGUUCGAUUAUGGCUCAGAACGAACGCUGGCGGCAGGCCUAACACAUGCAAGUCGAGCGAGAAGCCCCUUCGGGUGGUGGGCAGCGGCGGACGGGUGAGUAACGCGUAGGAAUUACCUCGGAGUGGGGGAAAACCCACUGGAAACGGUGGCUAAUACCGCAUACGCCCAUUGACUGAGGUCGGAGGGGAAAGAUUAUUGCUCUGGGAGAUCCGCGUCGGAUUAGCUUGUUGGUGAGGUAACGGCUCACCAAGGUGCGAUCCGUAGCUGGUUUGAGAGGAUGAUCAGCCACACUGGGACUGAGACACGACCCAGACUCCUACGGGAGGCAGCAGUGGGGAAAUUGCACAAUGGGCGCAAGCCUGAUGCAGCCAUGCCGCGUGAGUGAAGAAGGCCUUAGGGUUGUAAAGCUCUUUCAACGGUGAAAAUGAUGACGGUAGCCGUAAAAAACCCGGCUAACUCCGUGCCAGCCGCCGCGGUAAUUCA
rnacentral:rRNA from 1 species